GAUAACAAUCAAAUGAAUCAGCAGUUGUUAUCGAUAAUCCUCAUCCCUGGGUUGCUAAAGUGCAGCUGAUUUACAGAUUUGGGCUUGAUGAAGAUCGUACAGAUAGUGCUUGCACCUAUAAGAGACCAUUUCAAUGUGCCAGCCCUCUGGAUCCUCACAAAAAAUGUAUUCAGGAAGACAGGCAAGCCAGCUAGCCAGGUUAAAGCCCUCUGGAUGCUCCCAACAGCCCUGAACUGCAGUUCAGAUUGCCCUGUGUAGCUGUUUCCCGGUGAAAACGCAGACAUUUACCACUGAACUGCUUUUUGACUGCUGGUGCUCAUUUCUCUCACUCUCUGAUUCUGCAGACACCCUGUUUCUCUCAGGUGUUAAACAGUGACAUUAAUAUACCGACAGAUACACCCAGCCAUGUUGCAAUUUACUGGAGCUGAUGGGGAAAUCUUCUCAGAGCUACACUUGCAAAAUGGAGCUGGUUUAUAACUUUCGUGAUUGCUAUUCUUGAAAACUUCACCUCUCUGAGAGUGCUGAUAGACAAUUUUCCCUUCCAUUCAUUCCUCUGCUUAUCGUAAUAGAUACUUUAAGCACAGACCAGUGAACUGUAAAUCUGGACAGAUUCCUCAGCAUUUCAUACAGUAGGAGAGAAGCACCAGAAAAUUCACAUUUGUUAUAAAGCUAAAAUAAAUUAUCGCACAGAUAUCUUGCUAAGAUGGAUUUCAAGUUCCAGAUCUUCAAUAUCAGAGCCAAAAAAAAUUAAGGCCAAGUUUUUUAUCUGCCUGCUGCUACACUUUCUGUAAUGGAUUUUAAAUGGAGUGAUCACUGGAUGGCUGAAUGGACUUGAGAAAGUCUCAUUUAAAUUAAUGCCUGUAAAUGCAGAGUGAUGUAUAGUGGGUUGUGUAUCCUGGAUUCAGAUGGCAGAGGGCAGAAGCACCGUGUGUUGUACAAACAGAACAUUUGUGUAGGUAUAAGGCACAUCAGACUAAUGGUGUGUCUAAAAAUGUGUUCAGGAUUUAGCCAAAAACCAAACCAGCCAUUCCCCAGGCAUGUUGCUUCUUGGAUCUUUAAUGGAAAACUUUAUUGUGGCUUUGACUUUGCUGCAGUUUCAAACCACAGAGCAAGAUACACUUAAGAUAGGGCAAUGGCGAGUGGUCUGCUUUUUUUAUAUUAACUUUUUUAUACUAACCACUCUUGCAAUUUCAUGGUAUGGCAGCAAUGGCUUUAUUGUGAAAGUGAAUGUAGGUAAUUUCAUAUUUGUGAAAACUAUGUAGUACUGCCUAAAUGUUUAGGAUAUGCUGUGGUAACAUCUGAUUUUGUGUCGUCGCAGAAAUUCAGCUUUUAUAUGUGCUGCUCCCCUUACACAAUUUCUUUGGCAGUGGCAUCACUGCUAACAAACAAGGCCUGUAGAUGAUAAUUUUCCUGAACUUUCUGUGUAAUCAGUUCUGGAGGAUUUCAGUUCAUCAGGUUCUCAUUUGAACUGCCAGGUACUUUUAUACUCUGGAGUCUUGCAGAGAUGAGCAUAGAUAUGAAUCCAGAACUGCAGCAGUUCAGCUCUGUUGGGCUUUUUUUUUAGCUAUUCAGUUGACAAGAAGAAUCAUCUUUGUCAUUUUAGUAUUUCCUUAUGAGACAAUAAUUUUUUUCUUGUUGGGGCUCAUUAGCAAAAACCUUCACUGGUCUGAACUGAAGAUAGUAGCAUCUGAGGGCUUUUCAAAUUGCUGAGACAAGUAGAGCUGGUAACCCCUGAACCUGAAAAAAGACAUUGGAAUUCCUGGACCCAACCACCUAGAUGACCUUUCAGUCAAGGCAGAGAAAACUCUUUGAAUAGUUUGGGGAGAGGAAGGGAAAGUUCAUAUUUCACAGCAUUGUCAUGAAUAGAAGAGGUUCCAAAGCAGUAGUGUGAUUUCCUGCCUCUGAGUCCUUUUUUUUUUACAGACAACAUAAUCCUCUGGAGCAGCUUCUAACCACUUUAAAACUCCUGAUCUAAUUUCCCCGCUGCCUUCUGCUUUGUCCCUUCAUGCCAGUAGAAGUAGUUGUGAGACAUUUUAGAAGAGCUCACAUGGUCACACUUUGUGCCCAGUCUGCCUCUGGUGGAGUUUAAUGGAGAGGCAAGAGGGUACAAACCAUCAGACUCAAAUAUUGACCUGACAGAAGGAUCCCAGAGGGGCAGCUGCAUCAGAGAGCGAGAUGAGGGCCUCUUUGCACAGCAGAGCUCAGGGCAGCACAGGCCACGUGAAGCCACUCCUGAGGCAUCCAGCUGUGAGACAAGAGCGGGAUGUAAAUUGGGGGAGCUGCUCCGAGUCAUGCUGCGAUAGCUGGUUGCAGACUGCCUAGCUCAGGGGAUUUGGGGGCUACAGGGUGCAUGCAAAUCCUCUGUAAGAAUCAGCAGUGAAGAGCUCGGGCCAAAAAGCUUCAGGGCUGCUGUACCGUCUCUGCCUCUGUCCUCAUUCAACUCCCACAAGAGUGCUUAAGCAGCAAAGCUUAAGCUUAAUCGAGUUAUGUGAGCCAAUAAACUUCACUGCAUUUCUUAUUGCCCUACCACA